rnacentral:rRNA from 1 species
AACGAACGCUGGCGGCAUGCCUAACACAUGCAAGUCGAACGAGACCUUCGGGUCUAGUGGCGCACGGGUGCGUAACGCGUGGGAACCUGCCCUUAGGCUCGGAAUAACUCCCCGAAAGGGGUGCUAAUACCGGACAAUGUCUUCGGACCAAAGAUUUAUCGCCUUUGGAUGGGCCCGCGUUGGAUUAGCUAGUUGGUAGGGUAAAAGCCUACCAAGGCGACGAUCCAUAGCUGGUCUGAGAGGAUGAUCAGCCACACUGGGACUGAGACACGGCCCAGACUCCUACGGGAGGCAGCAGUGGGGAAUAUUGGAGAAUGGGCGAAAGCCUGAUCCAGCAAUGCCGGGUGAGUGAUGAAGGCCUUAGGGUUGUAAAGCUCUUUUACCCGGGAUGAUAAUGACAGUACCGGGAGAAUAAGCUCCGGCUAACUCCGUG